AACGAACGCUGGCGGCAUGCCUAACACAUGCAAGUCGAACGAGACCUUCGGGUCUAGUGGCGCACGGGUGCGUAACGCGUGGGAACCUGCCUUUAGGUUCGGAAUAACUCAGAGAAAUUUGAGCUAAUACCGGAUAAUGUCUUCGGACCAAAGAUUUAUCGCCUUUAGAUGGGCCCGCGUAAGAUUAGCUAGUUGGUGGGGUAAAGGCCUACCAAGGCGACGAUCUUUAGCUGGUCUGAGAGGAUGAUCAGCCACACUGGGACUGAGACACGGCCCAGACUCCUACGGGAGGCAGCAGUGGGGAAUAUUGGACAAUGGGCGAAAGCCUGAUCCAGCAAUGCCGCGUGAGUGAUGAAGGCCUUAGGGUUGUAAAGCUCUUUUACCCGUAGAUGAUAAUGACAGUAUCGGGAGAAUAAGCUCCGGCUAACUCCGUGCCAGCAGCCGCGGUAAU
rnacentral:rRNA from 1 species